AGGAAAACUCUUUUUCGGUCAGAUGGCGUGCUGCAGUCCGCCCCCAUCAUUCUUGCACCCACACAAACAGUACAAAAAAAAGGCAGUCAGCAACCAAUACGGUGCGCCGGAGGAGGAUUUCUGCCAAAGAAUUAAGACGAGUUGCUAUAAGCGCAGGGACUUAGCUGAAGAGCACGCCACUCAAUACCAAACGUGAUAGAAAUUGGUUGAAGAUAUCGAAAAUAUAAUGUCUUUCCGGGCGUUUCCGCAACAUCUGGCUAGUCGGGAUUAGUCCUGUCUUGGCUUAAAACAAAAACGGUUUUUUAAUCUGAAUUCAAAUAACAAAGGAUUUCUCACAUAUAGACGAGGGUUACACUUUGAGUAUCAGUUGGCCAUCCAGAUCUGUUUUUUCUUUUUUGAUGCGAAGCUCGUAGGCUACACACUGGUAAACUAUAGUGAAAUUAAGCAGUUGUUGAACUGCAUCCCUGCUGAAUUAAUCUGCUUGAUCAGGAGAAGAUUCAGUGCCAUGUCUCUGCCACGCACGCUCGGGGAGUUACAGCUCUAUCGGGUGCUUCAGCGAGCCAACUUACUGGCCUAUUACGACACCUUCAUCCAGCAAGGUGGCGAUGACGUGCAGCAGCUCUGUGAGGCGGCGGAGGAAGAAUUCUUGGAGAUCAUGGCACUAGUUGGCAUGGCCACCAAGCCGCUGCAUGUGCGUAGGCUACAGAAGGCGCUCCGUGACUGGGCGGCCAACCCUGCGCUCUUCAACCAGCCCGUGUCCAACGCCGCUCCCUGCGGGAUCCCGCUGUUCAAAGUGGAGGGAGCGGGCUCCGUCGGGUCGCAGGGGGGGCCCAGGAAGUCCGUCAGCAACGGCCAGCCGGGCUCGCCCUGCGAGAGGGAGGACAGGGCGUGUCUCACGCCGAUGCACAGCGGGAGCCCCCGGAGCCCUUGCUCUCAGGCGUCCCCCCAGCCCCCCGACGCGCACUACAGGGACAAACUGUCGCCCAUGGACCACCACUGGCUCAACCCCGAGCAGGACGGGAACUGCACGGCGGAGGACGGCUCCCCCAGCCCACCGCUGCACCCGUCCGGCCCGGCGGGUCCCUCCACACCCCCGGGGUCUUCCACGUCGUUCCCCCCCGGGACGCUCUCGGCCUGGCCCGGGGGGCAGCUGGACGGAGAGACGGCCAGGGCGGUGGGGGAGAGUGUGGAGCGGCUCCUGAGGACGCUGCCCCGAUCAGAGCCCGGCGAGGUGAAGACUCUGCUGAGGAUGAACAAGAAGAUGGCAAAAACCGUGGGUCACAUAUUCAAGAUGGGCCCGCAAGACAGGAACAAGGAAGAGGAGAUCAGGAAGUACAGCCUGAUUUAUGGGAGGUUUGACUCAAAGCGGAGGGAAGGCAAGCAACUCACGCAUCAUGAGUUGAUCAUCAAUGAAGCUGCUGCCCAGUUCUGUAUGAGAGACAAUGCCCUUUUGCUGAGACGUGUCGAACUCUUUUCUUUGGCUCGGCAGGUGGCAAGGAAGUGUGCCUACACAUCAACAUUAAAACAUGCUCGGACAAUUACAGAUGACAAUAAUUUCCUAUCGCAAAAGAGGGUGAAACAUGAGGUCAUUGUGCCGGAAAGCGUGUCUUCGCUGGUUGGGGUGGAGGGGUCAGAGGUAACGACCCAAAGGGCGGAGGACGACAGUGUGUCUAAUGAAAGCCUGGACACUGUAUCCCAAGACACUUCUAACCCGGUCAACUGGAGUCGCCAUCUCAUACAGCAAACACUUAUGGAUGAAGGGCUGCGAUUGGCUAGGAUGGUGUCACAUGGCCGAGAUGGCAGGAUCAGCCUAGGGUCAGAAGGCACUCAUUCAACAGAGAUAUGCAAGAGGUUUAGAAGGGCUGAGCACUGCUGGGCUGAGGCAGCAGGAAACAGAGAGAAAGAAAAGAAAAGCAGCAAGAAGCAAACAAAGGCAUGAGGAGGAGGAGGUGGGGAUAGGAAGCACUCUGUGGGCGUUCAGAUCUCCCUGCCCCCCCCCCCACAGCAGCAGCGUCUGACGUCAGACUUUUAGAUUACGAGAGUAAAGAGGAACAGGGGAGUGCAAUAGCGUGUAGGAGCCGGAGCCCUAUCAUCACAAAGGAGGAUUUGGACCACAGAGGGAAAUGAAAAAUCCCAAGGGGUACACUACAUCGUAUGUACAGACCUCCAUCUCAACUUCAACACAUCAUGUACUAUAUGGACUGUAACUGAGCAGGUUUAAGUUCUCACGUCAAUUACUAGAAAAUUGACAAAAGUGGCUUUUAGGGGGAAGAAAUCCAUAUUAUAAAACUUAUCCCUGUCUUGAUUGAUGGUUCCUCAGCCUUAGGAUGGCAAGUCUGGGUAUGUAAUAGAAAGCCAUAGGUGGCCAAACCCACACUUAGUAGACAUGGUGGUAUUUAGAGUUGAUAUGAGUCUGGAAUUAACUGGAUGGGGUCACUGAUCAAGUAGGCAGGGUUAUUUGAAUGACGUUAGGGAAAAAUGUAAUCUUUAAAAUAUCGUUCAGCAUUUUUAACAUAUCAACCUACAAUAUUUGAAAAAUUGUCCUCUGCUGCCCUCUAACCAAAUAAAAUCAUACACAAAUGUAUGAUUCAAAUUGUAAUAGAAAGUCUUGAUGUAAGGCAAAGUAGAUAGUAGAGCGCUAGGGGGUAGCUUCUGAAAUAUCUGCUAAAACAAUAGAGGUUAAUCAACAUUGAAUAUAUACCGUAGCUGUCGUCUUCUAACUUGUCGAUUUCACAUCAACUCAUGAACCCGGAGAUGAUUUAUAAUUUAUAAAGAAAUUACAUUCAGAUUAAAAAUCCUUCAGUUAUUUGAGUACUGAGACCAUUUGUGUGUGUAGCUAGGGUGUAGAAGUAAUGUGUUUGUCACACUCUUCCCACCUUCACGCCCCUCAAAUAUUAACAGUAUAAUUUAAGUCAGUCACUGACAUCUUUGAAAUAAUCAUUACUUGGCAAAGUUUCUGUGUGUCCGGGUUGUUAAAAUAGGUCAAACGACAAUACAACUGUACAACGAUCCAGAUAAUGAUGGGGCCAUAUUUAUUUACUGAAGAUGAAAAAAUGAAACAAGCUUUCCUGAAUACUGAAUAUCAUUGAUGUGUUCAUUACUGUGGUAUUAUAAUCGCACACACAUCUAUCCAUGGUGCAAUCUUGUUUAAAAGAGAAACAUUUUCUUAAAUUUUAGGUGGGAACAUUUUCAGAUGGCUGAGGUUUGCCUAUGUCAUCAAGUCACCCCCACUAACCCAAAAGACCACCCACUCACACCCCUACUCUCCCACAGGGGCUGCUACGUUUCUUAUUGCCACCUACCAGUUUGAAUCUUAUAAAACGAGAGGGAGUAGAGACGAGUGCACUGCAGUGUUUACCAGCCGGGAUCUGGGGGUUUGAAUGAGUGGCCUUUUCAGUGGUGACUCCAUGACAAAAACGUUAACAUCCUCAAGAUUUCCUCUUGGAUCGAAAACCCAUCCAAACAACAUCAAAUGAUGAUGAACAAUCACACUCAACCUGGGGUAAAAAGAUGAUCAAACGGUGCUUCAUUUUCCGACACAGCUGACCCUUCACUACAUUAGAUAUGAAUAUGCUAAUGUUUUGUUGUUAUAUUGUUAUAUUCAUAGAAAUAGUGGGAAGGCCCAUGUUUGGAAAUGCAUUGUCCAUUAUAUCUACAUGGUAUCUACACAAUAAGACAGGCAGCCAAGUGAUGUAAAGGAUUCAAUUAAACUGCAGGUUCUCUUUCACUAUUGUCACCACCCUCACGUUGAAAAACAGAUUAUUUAUUUUAUUAAAUCUCAAUAAACGUUAUUUUAUUGUUUAA